GACGAACGCUGGCGGCGUGCUUAACACAUGCAAGACGAACGGAAAGACCCUGCUUUUGUGGGGUGCUCGAGUGGCGAACGGGUGAGUAACACGUGAGUAACCUGCCCUUGACUUUGGGAUAACUUCAGGAAACUGGGGCUAAUACCGGAUAGGAGCUCCUGCUGCAUGGUGGGGGUUGGAAAGUUUCGGCGGUUGGGGAUGGACUCGCGGCUUAUCAGCUUGUUGGUGGGGUAGUGGCUUACCAAGGCUUUGACAGGUAGCCGGCCCGAGAGGGUGACCGGCCACAUUGGGACUGAGAUACGGCCCAGACUCCUACGGGAGGCAGCAGUGGGGAAUAUUGCACAAUGGGCGGAAGCCUGAUGCAGCAACGCCGCGUGCGGGAUGACGGCCUUCGGGUUGUAAACCGCUUUCGCCUGUGACGAAGCGUGAGUGACGGUAAUGGGUAAAGAAGCACCGGCUAACUACGUG
rnacentral:rRNA from 1 species